rnacentral:lncRNA from 1 species
ACUCCUUAUUCUUAUUUCUUAUUUAGUAUUUCGGAUUAAUUCUUAUUUCUAUUUAUUUUAUUUUUUAUUGAAUUUUAUUUUACAGAAUAAACCUAAACUAAAACUAAACUGAACUAAAUGAAGCGAAGUAUUUUAAAGAAUAAACCUAAACUAAAACUAAACAGAACUAAAUGAAGAGAAAUUUACUGAAAUAGUGUACUUGUACUAUUACUAUAAAGAAAAGAAGAAUGGGAUGAAUUGGAUAAAUUUACAGACCCCCUUCUAUUAUAUAUAUAACCUUUUCCUGACAUAAUUGGAAGUUCCUAUAAUAAAUUGAUAGCUUUUGGAAAUGGAAUAAAAACAAAAGAAUAGGGGAAAGCCGG